ensembl:snoRNA
UUGCCAGUCAAGUGCAGGUGCUGUGCCUCAUGCCAUGCAGCUGUUUAACUCCUGGCUAGAUAGGAGCCAACGUACAAGCCCCGGCAUCUGUCUGUGGUGUCUGGGGUCCCUAAGGAUGGCUACAUAG